rnacentral:rRNA from 1 species
UAACGCGAAGAACCUUACCAAGUCUUGACAUCCCCCUGACCGGUCCGUAACGGGGCCCUUCCUUCGGGACAGGGGAGACAGGUGGUGCAUGGUUGUCGUCAGCUCGUGUCGUGAGAUGUUGGGUUAAGUCCCGCAACGAGCGCAACCCUUAUCCUUAGUAGCCAGCACGUGAUGGUGGGCACUCUAGGGAGACUGCCAGGGAUAACCUGGAGGAAGGUGGGGAUGACGUCAAAUCAUCAUGCCCCUUAUGAUUUGGGCUACACACGUGCUACAAUGGCGUAAACAAAGGGAGGCGACCCUGCGAAGGCAAGCAAAUCCCAAAAAUAACGUCCCAGUUCGGACUGUAGUCUGCAACCCGACUACACGAAGCUGGAAUCGCUAGUAAUCGCGAAUCAGAAUGCCGCGGUGAAUACGUUCCCGGGUCUUGUACACACCGA